AACGAACGCUGGCGGCAGGCCUAACACAUGCAAGUCGAACGCUCCGCAAGGGGAGUGGCGCACGGGUGAGUAACACGUGGGAACCUACCUUCUGGUACGGAACAACCAAGGGAAACUUUGGCUAAGACCGUAUACGACCUCCGGGUGAAAGAUUGAUCGCCGGAAGAGGGGCCCGCGUCCGAUUAGGUAGUUGGUGAGGUAACGGCUCACCAAGCCUUCGAUCGGUAGCUGGUCUGAGAGGAUGACCAGCCACACUGGACUGAGACACGGCCCAGACUCCUACGGGAGGCAGCAGUGGGGAAUAUUGGACAAUGGGCGCAAGCCUGAUCCAGCCAUGCCGCGUGUGUGAAGAAGGCCUCGGUUGUAAGU
rnacentral:rRNA from 1 species